GUCGGGGGGUGUGUUCGUGCGUCCGCGUGAUCGCCUGUGCGUCAUGACGUCGUUUCCGGGCGGCGCUCGAGAGCUGCGGCUGUAGUUUGACAGCGGCAGAGUUGCGACGCGCGUCAGCGGAGAUUAUUUUUUUAUAGAAAUGAUAUAAAUGCUGUUCCGCUGCAAUGAUCGCGCUGACAGCACCGCCUUCGGCUCACUGACGCCCCGAGACGCGAUGUUUGACGAGCGCUGGCUGCCGCAGUUAAAGGUCGAUGACCAUGAAUUUCUCUGACUAAGAGCGCCGUGUCCCUUUUUGACCCCCGGCAGACACAAUGAUCUGCUGUAUUUGUCCUCCUCCUCCUCUGCCUCAUUGGUUCUCAUCUUCAGAGUGUUUUUUCCCUCUUUCUUGCUGUCGCUCUUCAGUGUGAGUGAAUGAGUUACUCUCUGUCUUUCUGUCUGUCUAUUUUUAUCUUUGUUAUUAUCACAUACGAUCAUGUCAGUCAAGAAUGACUGUCUCUUCCAGAUUCCUCAAUCUCAGGUUUUCCUUUAGUCUAAAUCUCUGUAUUUAGAUGCAAAAAAUACAAUGCAAAUACCAUUUAUUCUUGGACCUGUACUAUAGUAGAAGACAAUAUGACUUUCAGUAUAAACUUUGUCUCAGAUGUUUCUCCUAAAAUUCCUCAGGAGAGAUAAAAACAGCCCCAAAUGAGUCACUGUUUGUCAUCCAGUAAGAGUAUAGAGCUGUAAAAUUAUAUAGAGCAUUUGAUGAGAAAUGUUUCAUAUCGACUUGAUUCCAGACUUUGGCAUCUUGAGCAACUCUGAGCACAGGUUGAAACAUUGUUGAGAUAUCUUCAGAAACUCUACCCUUUCAAAAAAUACAUUUAUUAAAGUGUGUUAUUUGUAUACUUUAAAAAUACAUAAAAUAAGAGAGUAUCUGAGACGUACUUACGUAUACUUAGCUUAUACUGAGAAGUACACAGAAAAGUCUAAGUACAGGUCAAAUAUACUCAGACUUUUCUGUAUACUUCUCAGUAUAAGCCAAGUAUACUUAUACAUAUAUCUCUGAUAAGUACAUACAAUUAAAGAGUAUGCUUUCAGUCUACCUUUUAAGUUCUUAAUCGUUUGAUUGAGAAAUACUCUUAUUAAGUAUUCUAAGUAUAUUUGGCUUAUACUGACAACUAUACAGAAAAGUCUGAGUACUGUAUAUUUGGCUUAUACUUGUACUUAGUAAUGUUUUUCUUAAUUAUAUCUCGAUCAAAAGAUUAAGUAUUCUAAGUAUACUUGGUCUAUACUGA
ensembl:lncRNA